UGAACGCUGGCGGUAGGCCUAACACAUGCAAGUCGAACGGCAGCACAGUAAGAGCUUGCUCUUACGGGUGGCGAGUGGCGGACGGGUGAGGAAUACAUCGGAAUCUACUUUUUCGUGGGGGAUAACGUAGGGAAACUUACGCUAAUACCGCAUACGACCUACGGGUGAAAGCAGGGGAUCUUCGGACCUUGCGCGAUUGAAUGAGCCGAUGUCGGAUUAGCUAGUUGGCGGGGUAAAGGCCCACCAAGGCGACGAUCCGUAGCUGGUCUGAGAGGAUGAUUAGGCCCACUGGGAACUGGGGACGGGCCCAACCCCCCAGGGGGGGGCGGAGUGGGGAAUUUGGGAAAAUGGGGGAAACCCUGAUCCCGCCCUCCCGGGGGGGGGAAGAAGGCCUUGGGGUUGGAAAGCCCUUUUUUUGGGAAAAAAAAGCAGCAGGUUAAUACCCCGUUUUUCUGACGGUACCCAAAAAAUAAGCCCCGGCUAACUUCGU
rnacentral:rRNA from 1 species